GAGUAUUGGACAAUGGGGGCAACCCUGAUCCAGCAAUGCCGCGUGAGUGAUGAAGGCCUUAGGGUUGUAAAGCUCUUUCGGCGGGGACGAUGAUGACGGUACCCGCAGAAGAAGCCCCGGCUAACUUCGUGCCAGCAGCCGCGGUAAUACGAAGGGGGCAAGCGUUGUUCGGAUUUACUGGGCGUAAAGGGCGCGCAGGCGGCUCUUCAAGUCAGAUGUGAAAGCCCCGGGCUCAACCUGGGAACUGCAUUUGAGACUGAAGAACUCGAGUUCGGGAGAGGAUGGCGGAAUUCCCAGUGUAGAGGUAAAAUUCGUAGAUAUUGGGAAGAACACCGGUGGCGAAGGCGGCCAUCUGGACCGAGACUGACGCUGAGGCGCGAAAGCGUGGGGAGCAAACAGG
rnacentral:rRNA from 1 species